rnacentral:rRNA from 1 species
UACGUAGGGGGCAAGCGUUGUCCGGAUUUAUUGGGCGUAAAGAGCGUGUAGGCGGCCUGAAAGGUCAGCUGUGAAAACUCGAGGCUCAACCUCGAGACGUCGGUUGAAACCAUCUGGCUAGAGGCCGGAAGAGGAGUGUGGAAUUCCCGGUGUAGCGGUGAAAUGCGCAGAUAUCGGGAAGAACACCCGUGGCGAAGGCGGCACUCUGGGACGGUACUGACGCUGAGACGCGAAAGCGUGGGGAGCGAACAGG